UUACACUUUCAUGCCCUAUUGUUACCCGGUUGAUCAUAUUCACUUCAAAUGCAGUGACAACAGCCUGAACACAUUGAUGAUGCAUCCCAUUGAAAAUGGUGACUUGUCAUCAAAGGGCGUGUCUGUGGCGGCCAAACCAAUUUCGAUGUUUCGCCAUGAAAAUUUAACGAUUCAUAUCUCAGCUGAACAACAUCCUAUCUGCCUCAGACUUCACAUGCUGGAUACCAGGUCCAGUCUGAACACAUCCACACUCAUAAAUUUUGAAAAAGUCAUAGCGCCACCUGUUGGUAAUAGUAAGUUUAAGGCCUUAUAUUUUCAGGUACAAUGGCCCCGAACUUGAUGAUAUCAUGCUGGAAAUAGGUCAGUCGAGUCUUCACCUCUUGAAAAUUCCACACUGAGAAGGGUGUGACAUUUCAUGCAACGUUGUUGCCGUAGCAACCACAUAUCACCAUGCAAAACAAAGUGCUUUUUUGACGGUCUUAUCAUAUUCUAAAACGCGUGAAAUUCGCCAUGGUCAUCAGGACUGGUGAAUAAUUUGAUAUUUUAUAGGAGCUGCGCAUGUGCGUGGCAAAAUGGCUCUAUAGCGCCCCCUACAAAAUUCAAAAAGGGGUCAUUUGGCCAACUGCCGCAAUGUUUCAUUUACAGCUACAAUAUUUGGUGUGCAUAUGCACCACAUCAGGACACACCAUAAAGUCAAUCACAGCCACGCCCUAAACCCAACAGGAAGUCGGCCAUCUUGAAUUUGCUGUAAAUUUUUCAAACUUAAUAGCUCCUCGGGAAAUGAAUUGCCUUUUUAGGGGCCUUAUCACAAUCCAAAACGCGUGAAAUUUGGCGUGCACAUCAGGACUGGCGAAAAAUUUGAUAUUUUAUGGACGUUGCACAUGUGUGUGGCAAAAUGGCUCUAUAGCGCCACCUGCAAAAUUGAAAAGUGGUCAUUAGGCCAACUUCCACAAUGUUUCAUUUACAGCUACAAUAUUUGGUGGGCAUAUGCACCACAUCAGGACACACCAAAAAGUCAAUCACAGCCACGCCCUGAACCCAACAGGAAGUCAGACAUCUUGAAUUUACUGUACAUUUGUCAAAAUUAAUAGCUCCUAGUGAAUACGUCUGACAGAACUGAAAUUUGGCCAGUACAUGCACCAGACCUUUCUGAUGAAAAGUUAUCAAAAACUCAACCAGAAGCCAAAAGGUGUGGCCAUGGUGGAGCCUCAAAAAACUGAUCCUUCGCCAUGAAACAGGAAGUGGUGUCUAAUUCUUCUGACCAUUCUCCAAUCUGCCUGAAACUUUACAUGUAUGAUGACAGUCCUGUCCUGAUGUCAUCCACAUAGGGAUAUUCAUUGACAGUCAUAGCGCCACCUUGUGGUUUCAGGAAAUAGACAUCUUUUACACUUUCAUGCCCUAUUGUUACCCGGUUGAUCAUAUUCACUUCAAAUGCGGUGACAACAGGCUGAACACAUUGAUGAUGCAUCCCAGUGAAAAUGGUGACUUGUCAUCAAAUGGCGUGUCUGUGGCGGCCAAACCAAUUUCGAUGUUUCGCCAUGACAAUUUAACGAUUCAUAUCUCAGCUGAACAAGAUCCUAUCUGCCCCAAACUUCACAUGAUGGACACCAGGUCCAGUCUGAACACAUCCACACUCAUAAAUUCUGAAAAAGUCAUAGCGCCACCUGUUGGUAAUAGUAAGUUUAAGGCCUUAUAUUUUCAGGUACGAUGGCCCCAAACUUGGUGAUAUCAUGCUGGAAAUUGGUCAGUCGAGUCUUCACCUCUUGACAAUCCCACACUGUGAAGGGUGUGACAUUUCAUGCAACGCUGUUGCCGUAGCAACCAAAUAUCGCCAUGAAAAACAAAGCCCUUUCUGACAGGUUAGAAAUACUCCAAUGCUCACUAAAAUUACCACACACAUCACCAUCGACCCAAGGAACGACACCGUGUGCAUCUCGGCACUGCACAUGCUAUAGCGCCCCCUACAGUAUUUUCAACAAACAGCCCCCCCAGCACGUUUCACCUACAUCCAUGAAAUUUGGGAGGCUUAUAGAGCACAUCAGGACGCACAAAAAAGCCUCUUGGAGCCAUGUCCUAAAUCCAACAGGAAGUCGGCCAUCUUGGAUUAAUUGUGAGAUUUUUGAUGAUUUUUCUCAUUUUUGAGAGUUAAUACCUUCUAGGGGAUAAUUCCAGGAGACCUGAAAUUUUGUCAGUCCACACAGCAGGACUUGGUGAUGAAAAGUUAUCAAAAGUUUAACCAGAAGCCAAAUGGCGUGGCCAUGGCGACCAUCAGAGUUUUGAUGCUUCUCCAUGAAACAACAACUGCUGUAUAACUCUCUUCUGCAUGCUCCAAUCUGCCUCAAACUUUACAUGUGUGAUCACAAUCCAAUCCUGAUCACAUCGACAGGCCAACAGACACUCUCAGUUGCAGCGCCACCUGUUGGGGGGACAGUAAAUGCUGUAUAACUGGCCUCUACAUGAUCAAAUCAGCCUGAAACUUUUCAUGAGUGAUCAGAGUCCAACCCUCAUCACAUCCACUGUUUGAAAUACACUCUGAGUUACAGCACCACCUGGUGGUGGAUGGGCAGGAAAUGCUGUAUAACUAGUCUGAACAUGCUCCAUCUGGCUGAAAUUUUACGUGUGAUUAAACUCUGGUCCAGAUGUGAUUCAGAGGCCGGCACACACUCUCAGUCACAGUGCCACCUGAUGGACGUGCAUGGAUUCGCCGACCAGCGUGGAUGCGAGGACCCGUCCAUCGCUGCUUGCAGCUUUAAUGUUUUGUUUGAUUUUUCUUGAAAUGGCUUUUAUUUUGCUUGUAAUUGUUUUACUGUGUUUUUUACAUUUUAAAAACAUUUCCUUUAAUCGUUGCUAUUCUUUUAACUGUUUUACUGUUUUGUUGUUUGAUGGUGAACGCUUGUGUAACUGCUGCACAACAAAUUGCCCGGGUCGUUGGGGUCAAAUCCAGAAUUCAGUGGCAGAAUUACAGAUCUUUUCUGGACUGGUAUCAACAUCUGAUCCCCAAGGAGAAACUAGAAAGUGCUGGUGGUCUGAAUUGACCCUGCUGCCAUUAAGACCUAAAUCUGGACGUUGAUGUUGUAUGUUUUUCAUAUUGUACAUUUCUCCAGUAAUGUAACUUAACGGAAAGUCUGGGGAUGAAGAGAUCCUUGUGGUACAAUCCCAUCAGUGUAUGCUUUUCAUAUUGUAUACUGACAGUCAAUAGAAACUUUGAGGUAGAAAUGUACGCAGAAUUCUACUUGUAGGGGGGUUGUAAUUAUUCAUUGUGGAUUUACUGAUGAUCUAGUGCCCUGGUAGUUGAGAUAAUGAUGAUUUAUUUUGUCAUGACUCAUUGCACAUGGGUUGGUCACUUUGCAAAAGUGAACCAAAUACACACCAAGCGAUACUCAGUGAGUAUCCGCACAAUUUCAGAAUGGGUUUUGAAGGCCUAUAAAAAGGCCACCAUUGUUAGUCCAGUGAACAGCAUCAUGUCGCGUCUAUCACAUGAACAACGUCUCUGGGCACUGGGUAUGGUGGAGGCCGGUUUGAGCUACAGUGAUGUAGCCAGGCUUAUGGGCUGUUCCCAACCCACAAUCAGAAGCCUGGUCCAAAGCAUGCGCCGACGGAUUGCUGCCAGCAUCGAAGCAAAUGGAGGCCAUACUCGGUAUUUGUUUUGUCUUUUGUGAAAUUCUUUAUUUUGAAAUCAUUCUUGAAACUUUAGAUUUUUGUUUCUGUAUGCCAAUAUGCUAAACAAAUAAAAAUUAUGUUGAAAAAUA